rnacentral:rRNA from 1 species
UGGGGAAUAUUGCACAAUGGGGGAAACCCUGAUGCAGCGACGCCGCGUGAGCGAUGAAGGCUUUCGAGUCGUAAAGCUCUGUCCUAUGGGAAGAUAAUGACGGUACCAUAAGAAAAAGCCCCGGCUAACUACGUGCCAGCAGCCGCGGUAAUACGUAGGGGGCUAGCGUUGUCCGGAAUCACUGGGCGUAAAGGGUUCGCAGGCGGAAAUGCAAGUCAGGUGUAAAAGGCAGUAGCUUAACUACUGUAAGCAUUUGAAACUGCAUAUCUUGAGAAGAGUAGAGGUAAGUGGAAUUUUUAGUGUAGCGGUGAAAUGCGUAGAUAUUAAAAAGAAUACCGGUGGCGAAGGCGACUUACUGGGCUCAUUCUGACGCUGAGGAACGAAAGCGUGGGUAGCAAACAGG